UAUGAUGUCGCGGGGAGUUGGGGUGAGCCUGGCUGAGAGGGUGACCGGACAGUCACUGACCCGCAGAACCUGACCUGGAUAAUACCAGCGGAGGGAUCGACAAUGAAGGAAUAA
rnacentral:ncRNA from 2 species